UUCACUGUAGCGCAAUGGACAGCACGUUGGAUUUCUCAUCCAAAAGUCGUGGGUGUGAAUGACACCUGUGAUG